GCGGAUGUGGCGGAACUGGCAGACGCGCAGGCUUCAGGUGCCUGUGGGGGCAACCCCGUGGAGGUUCAAAUCCUCUCAUCCGCA
rnacentral:tRNA from 1 species